rnacentral:rRNA from 1 species
CGUUAUGCAGCACUAAGGGGCGGAAACCCCCUAACACUUAGCACUCAUCGUUUACGGCGUGGACUACCAGGGUAUCUAAUCCUGUUUGAUCCCCACGCUUUCGCACAUCAGCGUCAGUUACAGACCAGAAAGUCGCCUUCGCCACUGGUGUUCCUCCAUAUCUCUGCGCAUUUCACCGCUACACAUGGAAUUCCACUUUCCUCUUCUGUACUCAAGUUUCCCAGUUUCCAAUGACCCUCCACGGUUGAGCCGUGGGCUUUCACAUCAGACUUAAGAAACCGCCUACGCGCGCUUUACGCCCAAUAAUUCCGGAUAACGCUUGCCACCUACGUAUUACCGCGGCUGCUGGCACGUAGUUAGCCGUGGCUUUCUGAUUAGGUACCGUCAAGAUGUGCACAGUUACUUACACAUUUGUUCUUCCCUAAUAACAGAGUUUUACGAUCCGAAAACCUUCAUCACUCACGCGGCGUUGCUCCGUCAGACUUUCGUCCAUUGCGGAAGAUUCCCUACUGCUGCCUCCCGUAGGAGUCUGGACCGUGUCUCAGUUCCAGUGUGGCCGAUCACCCUCUCAGGUCGGCUACGUAUCGUUGCCUUGGUAAGCCGUUACCUUACCAACUAGCUAAUACGGCGCGGGUCCAUCUAUAAGUGAUAGCAAAACCAUCUUUUACUUUAGAACCAUGCGGUUCCAAAUGUUAUCCGGCAUUAGCUCCGGUUUCCCGAAGUUAUUCCAGUCUUAUAGGUAGGUUACCACGUGUU